CGAAGAUAUUUACGAGAAAAAAGAAGAAGAAGAAACACCUACCUUUCCGUCCACGUCUUUCCACUCUUCCUCUUUCUUCCUUUUGUUAUACCUGCGCGUUUUUCUGCU
rnacentral:ribozyme from 14 species